rnacentral:lncRNA from 1 species
GUUGAGGGACAUUCCGCUAAGGGCACGUUUGGUUGCUCGUAAGUCGGCGAAGUGGAAAAAGUCACUUUUAUAAAAGUGACUUUUCAGUUCGAUUGUUUGGUUGCUACAAUAAAGUAAAAAAUUAAAACUAUAAUUUUAUAAUUUUAUAAUUUUUUGAUUGUUUGGUUGCUCAUAAAUCGGCGAAGUGGAAAAAGUCACUUUUAUAAAAGUGACUUUUCAGUUCGAUUGUUUGGUUGCUACAAUAAAGUAAAAAAAUUAAAACUAUAAUUUUAUAAUUUAUUGAUUAUUAAAUUAUAUAUAAAGAGGUGAAAAUAUAAACAAACGACUUAUACUUGCAAUUUAAAUUAAAAAUUUAAAUUUAAAUUUAAACUUAAAUCUAA